ensembl:lncRNA
CUGAAGGUGAAAUUUUCAUUAAUUUGCUCAUGAUGACUUGCAAAGGAACUGAAAUGGUUCUUCGACACAAGAUUUCAUUGUCAUUCCUCAUCCUUUCAAAUCUGAUUGUUUUGGCAGAUUCAUGUGACAGUCGAUGUCUGGCAAAUUCUAUAAUUGCCAAGAAACUGAUAAGUGCACCACACGGCGAUAACUGUUCUGUCAUAGUUAACAUCACUUCAAUGCAAUACGAGACACUGAUGUUUGUAAGUUAAGUUUUUUUUUUUUAAUUCAAUUCUUUCUGUCUUUGUUUUAUGCUUGGAAAAACAAACUGAUAAUAUGAAAUGUGAU